UCUUGCUGUGAUCAACUGGAGCUGGCCUGGGUGACUGAAUUUGGUACAUCGUUGUGGCAAGAUGCGGUCUGAUUUCCAGUUGUUGGACGAGCAGAAGGACGCUAUGGAUGCAACCUGAAGGUCCAAGACUCAAUCCACUGAAGGCUCUCCGUAAGAUGGUGGAUCUGAUGUCUGCUUUGUGGUCCUAUAGGGCGGCGCCAUGGAUUGGG